UAUUGGUCAAUGGAGGGAACUCUGAACCAGCCAUGCCGCGUGCAGGAUGACUGCCCUAUGGGUUGUAAACUGCUUUUGUCGGGGAAUAAACCUCUCUACGAGUAGAGAGCUGAAUGUACCCGAAGAAUAAGGAUCGGCUAACUCCGUGCCAGCAGCCGCGGUAAUACGGAGGAUCCGAGCGUUAUCCGGAUUUAUUGGGUUUAAAGGGUGCGUAGGCGGCCUUAUAAGUCAGGGGUGAAAUACGGCAGCUCAACUGUCGCAGUGCCUUUGAUACUGUAGGGCUUGAAUCUAUUUGAAGUGGGCGGAAUAAGACAAGUAGCGGUGAAAUGCAUAGAUAUGUCUUAGAACUCCGAUUGCGAAGGCAGCUCACUAAGUUAGUAUUGACGCUGAUGCACGAAAGCGUGGGGAUCGAACAGG
rnacentral:rRNA from 1 species